UACGUAGGUGGCAAGCGUUACUCGGAAUCACUAGGUGUAAAGCGCAGGUAGGUGGUUUGAUAAGUUGAUUGUGAAAGCUCCAAUAAAAUUGGAGAGGACAAUCAAUACUGUCAAACUUGAGUAUAGAAUGGGGAACCAGAAUUCCUGGUGUAGCGGUGAAAUGCGUAAAUAUCAGGAGGAAUACCGAUGGCGAAGGCGGGUUCCUGGGCUAUUACUGACACUGAAUUGCGAAGACAUGGGGAGCAAACACG
rnacentral:rRNA from 1 species